GACGAACGCUGGCGGCGUGCCUAAUACAUGCAAGUCGAACGCUUCUUUCCUCCCGAGUGCUUGCACUCAAUUGGAAAGAGGAGUGGCGGACGGGUGAGUAACACGUUGGUAACCUACCAAUCAGAGGGGGAUAACACUUGGAAACAGGUGCUAAUACCGCAUAACAGUUUAUGCCGCAUGGCAUAAGAGUGAAAGGCGCAGUCGGGUGUCGCUGACGGGUGGACCCGCGGUGCAUUAGCUAGGUGGUGUGGUAACGGCGCACCAAGGCCACGAUGCCUCGCCGACCCGGGAGGGUGAUCGGCCACACUGGAAUUGAGACACGGCCCAGACUCCUACGGGACGCAGCAGUAGGGAAGCUUCGGCAAUGGACGAAAGUCUGACCGAGCAACGCCGCGUGAGUGAAGAAGGUUUGCGGAUCGUAAAACUCUGUUGUUAGAGAAGAACAAGGACGUUAGUAACUGAACGUCCCCUGACGGUAUCUAACCAGAAAGCCACGGCUAACUACGU
rnacentral:rRNA from 1 species